AGACUUGUAGGCAGGUUCGUCGGUUGUGACUGAAUGCUCAGUGCUUCAGGCCACUUUGAUAUGUAAGGUGCUUGCAUCUGUAAUCGGAUGCGGAUCAGCUUUGAAAGACGGUCACUGAGUAUCACAUUGUGCAACUCCUCACCCGAAUCAAUCCUGUCUAUAAGUCUUUGAAGGCAAUCAUCCAUGAAAAACUCCACUAGCGCUGCCUCCUUGCGAGGAAUUG
rnacentral:misc_RNA from 1 species